rnacentral:rRNA from 1 species
UUGCAGUUAAAAAGCUCGUAGUUGGAUUUCGGGAUGGGCCAGUCGGUCUGCCGUGAGGUAAGUUACUGGCUGGUCUGUUCUUCCUCGCAAAGAAUGCGUGUGCUCUUUACUGAGUGGGCGUAGGAUUUGCGACGUUUACUUUGAAAAAAUUAGAGUGUUCAAAGCAGGCUUACCGCUUGAAUACAUGAGCAUGGAAUAAUGGAAUAGGACUUUGGUCUUAUUUUGUUGGUUUCUAAGACUGAGGUAAUGAUUAAGAGGGACAGUUGGGGGCAUUCGUAUUUCGUUGUCAGAGGUGAGAUUCUUGGAUUUACGAAAGACGAACAACUGCGAAAGCAUUUGCCAAGAAUGUUUUCAUUAAUCAAGAACGAAAGUUAGAGGCUCGAAGACGAUCAGAUACCGUCCUAGUUCUAACCAUAAACGAUGCCGACUAGGGAUCAGCGAGCGUUAUUGUAUGACCUCGUUGGCACCUUAUGGGAAACCAAAGUUUUUGGGUUCCGGGGGAAGUAUGGUUGCAAAGCUGAAACUUAAAGGAAUUGACGGAAGGGCACCACCAGGAGUGGAGCCUGCGGCUUAAUUUGACUCAACACCGGGAAACUCACCAGGUCCAGACAUAGUUAAGGAUUGACAG